GUGGGGAAUUUUGGACAAUGGGCGCAAGCCUGAUCCAGCAAUGCCGCGUGCAGGAAGAAGGCCUUCGGGUUGUAAACUGCUUUUGUACGGAACGAAAAGACUCUGGUUAAUACCUGGGGUCCAUGACGGUACCGUAAGAAUAAGCACCGGCUAACUACGUGCCAGCAGCCGCGGUAAUACGUAGGGUGCAAGCGUUAAUCGGAAUUACUGGGCGUAAAGCGUGCGCAGGCGGUUUUGUAAGACAGGCGUGAAAUCCCCGGGCUCAACCUGGGAAUUGCGCUUGUGACUGCAAGGCUGGAGUGCGGCAGAGGGGGAUGGAAUUCCGCGUGUAGCAGUGAAAUGCGUAGAUAUGCGGAGGAACACCGAUGGCGAAGGCAAUCCCCUGGGCCUGCACUGACGCUCAUGCACGAAAGCGUGGGGAGCAAACAGGAUUAGAUACCCCAGUAGUCC
rnacentral:rRNA from 1 species